UACGUAGGGUCCAAGCGUUGUCCGGAUUUAUUGGGCGUAAAGAGCUCGUAGGCGGCUCAGUAAGUCGGAUGUGAAAACUCGGGGCUCAACCCCGAGACGCCAUCCGAUACUGCUGUGGCUUGAGUCUGGUAGGGGAACACGGAAUUCCUGGUGUAGCGGUGAAAUGCGCAGAUAUCAGGAGGAACACCGGUGGCGAAGGCGGAUCUCUGGGCCAUACUGACGCUGAGGAGCGAAAGCGUGGGGAGCGAACGG
rnacentral:rRNA from 1 species